CCAAUAGCGUAUAUUAAAGUUGUUGCAGUUAAAAAGCUCGUAGUUGAAUUUCGGAAUCAAUAUAUCGGUCGUGCCUCUGGUACGCACUUAUUUAUUGAUUUCUCACUUCUGACGAAUCAUAAUGUCAUUAGUUUGGUGUUAUGAGGAAUCAGGACUGUUACUUUGAAAAAAUUAGAGUGUUUAAAGCAGGCUCGCGCUUGAAUACAUUAGCAUGGAAUAAUGAAAUAGGAUGUUUGAUCUUAUUUUGUUGGUUUCUAGGAUCGACAUAAUGAUUAAUAUGGAUAGUUGGGGGCAUUAGUAUUCAAUUGUCAGAGGUGAAAUUCUUGGAUUUAUUGAAGACUAACUACUGCGAAAGCAUUUGCCAAGGAUGUUUUCAUUAAUCAAGAACGAAAGUUAGGGGAUCGAAGACGAUCAGAUACCGUCGUAGUCUUAACCAUAAACUAUGCCGACUAGGGAUCGGAUGAUGUUAUUUUUUAAUGACUCAUUCGGCACCUUACG
rnacentral:misc_RNA from 1 species